CGUAAACGUAAACGCACUAUCUUUUGAUUUCCUCAUCACCGUAACACCGCAUAACUAAGUCACCUCCGUAAACCUCCGCACACCGCACACCGCACACCGCACACUUUUUCUCAAAUUUGAAGUACCAACUCAAUGAGAUAGAAGACAAUGCUUGUAAUCUGAAAAAUGUAAAAGCAGUUGGCUGAAGGUAAGAUGUUGGUUGGAUUAGGUGAGAAAUUUAGACAAGGUUAACUAGGUCCUGUAAAAAAAGCUAUCUCUGUGUAGAAUUAGGAUGAAUUGCUAUGGGCUGCUUCUUGGCUAUAUAAGGA